rnacentral:rRNA from 1 species
AACGUAGGAGACAAACGUUAUCCGGAGUUACUGGGCGUAAAGGGCGUGCAGGCGGCUUGUUAAGUUUGGCGUGAAAGCUCCUGGCUAAACCGGGAGAGGUCGUCGGGGACUGGCAGGCUCGAGGGUGAUAGAGGCGGGUGGAAUUCCGGGUGUAGUGGUGAAAUGCGUAGAGAUCCGGAGGAACACCAGUGGCGAAGGCGACCCGCUGGGUCACACCUGACGCUGAGACGCGACAGCAUGGGGAGCGAACGGG